GCUUUGUAUGCACUUCGCUUCUCCCGGUGCAGGAGUGAAAGUAUCGUGUUCUUCCUCGAUUUGGCCGUUAUUCCUUCCGCGGUUUCGAAUUACUAUUUUGUUGCAGAUAUUCCUGUAAGACUACUGCGAACCUUUUGGCCUGCGUGUUUCUUCGCCCGGGCGCCUCCGCUCCUCUGUGCAUCCUGGGAGGGCUACAAAGUUAAAGGAUGUAAAGUGGAAGGAAGGGGGGUUGAGGCAAGAGUGCAAGUGAGGUUAAAUUGUAGAAGAUCAUGUCAACAAAGUUGAUGUAGCUGGAAGAUGGUCUACUCAGACGAAAGAAAACAGCAAUAUCUUUAUUGCACUCCAAAUCCUAAUACAAAUACAAAGUUAUUAAGGUCAUGAGCUUGCAUUGGAUGGCGAACCCCAUCAAGCAAAGUGGUAGAAAUGCCCUGCAAGACUUGCAAAAUUCAUGCAUGGUGCGCGUGAAAGAAUGUCAUACUAAGUUAACAUACAAUAAUGGUGCAGGAAUGGAAUAGGUCAACAUUGGUGGUCCCUCUCAAAAGUAGUUUUGGCAUCGUUAUCGAGGAGCUAUAGUCGCAGCAAGACUACUAGGGGCAGGACUGAAGAAAGGCCCAAUAUGCAACUGUAACAUCUGACUUUGGAUUGGCGAGAUAGUCUUCUUCAAGAUUUGAAGUUUCAAGGGCCUUUAUGAAGUUGACAAACAGGUCGUUAAACUUCGUAGGAAGCUCGAUAUUCUUGUCAGCGACAGUAGUAGCGUGUCUAUUGAGGAGGUCAAUUGUCGGACGAUAUG
rnacentral:sRNA from 1 species